GACAGAGGCCCCAAGCGUUAGGCGGAAUCACUGGGCUUAAAGCGUGUGUAGGCGGACGCCUAAGUGUCUUGUGAAAUCCCACGGCUCACCCGUGGAACUGCUGGGCAUACUGGGCGUCUUGGGCCAACUAGGGGCAGCCGGAACAAGCGGUGGGGCGGUGAAAUGCGCAGAUAUCAGGAGGAACACCGGUGGCGAAGGCGGGUCUCUGGGCCGAUACUGACGCUGAGGAGCGAAAGCGUGGGGAGCGAACAGG
rnacentral:rRNA from 1 species